CCUACGGGAGGCAGCAGUUAGGAAUCUUGCGCAAUGGGCGAAAGCCUGACCCAGCAACGCCGCGUGGGCGAUGAAGGCCUCCGGGUCGUAAAGCCCUUUUGCAGGGGAAGAUGAUGACGGUACCCUGCGAAUAAGCCACGGCUAACUACGUGCCAGCAGCCGCGGUAAU
rnacentral:rRNA from 1 species